UACGUAGGGAGCAAGCGUUGUCCGGAAUCAUUGGGCGUAAAGCGCGCGUAGGCGGCCCUGUAAGUCCGUUGUGAAAGUCAAAGGCUCAACCUUUGAAAGCCGAUGGAUACUGUCGGGCUAGAGUGCGGAAGAGGCGAGUGGAAUUCCUGGUGUAGCGGUGAAAUGCGCAGAUAUCAGGAGGAACACCAAUUGCGAAGGCAGCUCGCUGGGACGUGACUGACGCUGAGACGCGAAGGCGUGGGGAGCAAACAGG
rnacentral:rRNA from 1 species